AUGGCUGCAGCUUGGGUCCUGGUGUUGGUGACUGUGAUGCUGGACUUGGCCAGAGCAGGCCCUGUCCCCACAUCCAAGCCCACCACAACCGGGAAGGGCUGCCACAUGCGCCGGUUCCAAUCUCUGUUGCCAAGGGAGCUGGAGGGCUUCAAGAAAGCCAAGGAUGCCUCAGAAGAGUUGCUCUCGCUGAAGAACUGGAGCUGCAGCUCUCACCGCUUCCCCAGGACCCGGGACCUGAGGCAGCGGCAGGUGUGGGAGCGCCCUGUGGCCUUGGAGGCAGAGUUAGACCUGACGCUGAAGGUCCUGGGUGCUGUGGCAGACUCGUCCUCGGGGGUCAUCCUGGACCAGCUGCUGCACACGCUGCGCCACAUCCACUCCGAGCUUCAGGCUUGCAUCCCGGCUCGGCCCACAGCAGAAUCCCAGCCCCGGGCCGCCUCCACCACUGGCUGUGCCGGCUCCAGGAGGCCACAAAGGAGGAGUCCCAAGGCUGUCUCGAGGCCUCUGUCACAUUCAACCUCUUCUGCCUCCUCAUAAGGGACCUGAGAAUUGUUGCCAGUGGAGACCUGAAUAUCUGA